rnacentral:rRNA from 1 species
CAAUAGCGUAUAUUUAAGUUGUUGCAGUUAAAAAGCUCGUAGUCGGAUUUUGGCUGAGAACGAUCGGUCCGCCGUUAGGUGUGAACUGAUUGGUCUCAGCUUCCUGGUGAGGAGGUGUGCUUCACGGCCACUUAGUCACCGUGGUUACUUUGAAAAAAUUAGAGUGUUCAAAGCGGGCUUACGCUUGAAUAUAUUAGCAUGGAAUAACACCAUAGGACUCCUGUCCUAUUUCGUUGGUCUCGGGACGGGAGUAAUGAUUAAGAGGAACAGUUGGGGGCAUUCGUAUUUCAUUGUCAGAGGUGAAAUUCUUGGAUUUAUGAAAGACGAACUUCUGCGAAAGCAUUUGCCAAGGAUGUUUUCAUUGA